rnacentral:ncRNA from 1 species
CCAUGUUGUUCUGGCCAUCCUCCGCGACCCCUGAGCGCUGGCGUCCCACAACUUCUUAGAGGGACAAGUGGCGUUCAGCCACCCCAGAUUAAGCAAUAACAGGUCUGUGAUGCCUUUAGAUGUCCGGGGCUGCAUGUGCACUACACUGACUGGUGGCUCAGCCUGUGCCUACCCUACCAAGAUAGGUGCGGGUAACCUGUUGAACCCAUUGUGAUGGGGAUUGGGGAUUGCAAUUAUUCCCCAUGAACGAGGAAUUCCCAGUAAGUGCAGGUCAUAAGCUUGCGUUGAUUAAGUCCCUGCCCUUUGUACAACACCGCCCAUCGCUACUACCGAUUGGAUGGUUUACUGAGGCCCUCCAAUGGGCCCGCCAGGUCAGCCCAUGGCCCUGGCUGAGCGAUGAGAAGAUGGUCGAACUUUAUCUAGAGGAAGUAAAAGUCAUAACAAGGUUUCCAUAGGUGAAUUUGCGGAAGGAUCACUA